UUUGCAUAAAAAUAGCAAGUGAGCUUUGUUCUCCGUACAGUUCUCAAGAGCAACUGCUAGGUUUUAGCGAACAAAAAUGUGCUUUUCAAGGUUUUGUAAGUAUCUUUAGACCAGUCCUUCAAAUACUGAUUUUUGAGAAGUGUCAUAACUGUCAUAUAGAUGGCGUGUUGAUUGUGUCAGUUUUAUGGUCUUGUGGAGUUUGCUGUCAAAAGUUAAGGAGGAAACGUGAAAGCAGUGAAAGGUUCGUGCAGCCUACCGUCAACUAUUUUGUUCAAAAUCAUUGUAUUCUAUUGAAUAUGCCAUCGAAAUGAUACAGGAUUCAUCAUAAAUAUUCACCGUUUGUAUUGGACUUGCUAGAUCACCAACUCCAGCAUGGACCAAUCUCUCAUUCCAUCUUGAGAGAACCUUGGAUAACUGAUUGGUGGUUUCAUCUUUCAUGUAUCAUAGACAGCAAAGCACAUUAUGAACAAAUUAUAAACAAGACUAAGAAAAGCCAUGCUGUCCAUUGAAGAAUAAGGACAAUGACUAUACAUUCAACAAGGUUCCUUGUUUGCUAACCCGUUGGCUGCUACCCUUGAAUCUCCCAUUUAACUUCUUUACACGGGUCUUCUAUAUUUGAGGUUAAUCCUUCCCCGCUAUUUAAUAGACUUCAUCCAUUGGUGAAAACUGACGAGAGAAUGCUGAAAUUCAAGACUCGUCAAUAAUUUAUGUAGAUGUAGAUAUAUUACAAGUGCAUAUCUGGGCUCCCUUCUUCAGUGGCCCCGUUUCCCUAAAUAACCACUAACCAACGCCCGCCGGUGGUCACUCACUCGCUGCGACAACCAGGAGGAAGGGAGAUGUUUGGUCGAACGGGGACUUGCAAGGCGCAUGAUUCGAUGAAAUCUGUUGGAGGGUCAUGAGUCUAAGCCGGAAGCCUACUAUGACACACUGCUCUCAUAAUAACUGCUCCUCAGCUCUCUUCGUUCUUUUUCCGGUUUCUCUUAACCAUGGCCGGGUAAUCUCCCUGGUCGAGUCAGUCGGGCAGUGUCUCCCCCUGCUCGACUGGCAGCAGUUUGUACCGGACGGUCUGUUUAA
rnacentral:lncRNA from 1 species